rnacentral:lncRNA from 1 species
UGCGAAGCAAAGCAUCAGAAACUCAACAAAAGCCCUCUAGUUCAUAUGGCUCAGGUAGAGAAUUCCGGUAAUCCAGAACCCAGAACUUAUGAUAAGACCAACAGGCUACGCCUGAAUAGAGGAUACAAGUUUCUCCCAAAUAAUGACAGCACAGUCUACAUUGAUAACGUUAGGAAGACUGCAUCUGAACAAUGCGUCGCCAAACAACCCAACACAGAACAAACAAGAUCUUCCUGUGAAAGAAGCAAUCCGUCUUGCCACUAGCAGCACUACCAUCUCACUACGAGCUCGCCGAGACGCCACGCACGCCCGAUUGCCACGGUACCGCUACUGCGGUGAGUGCUGCGUCCACGGCGAGCAUUAACGCCUGAGCUGCUGGCGCACGACCGGCCUCUUGGCUCCAACAUUGUGGUGGUGCAGAUCAUCCAAUUUCAGUUUCAGUUACUGAAAUUGAAACUGUCAUCGGAUCAUCCAACUGGAUGAUACUCCUUGCUUGUUCUGUAAUUUGAACAUAUGCAGUACAUGACCUCCGAUGUGUGCCAAACACAGUUUCUGCUAGCUGAACAUGACCUUCGAUGAAAUUGAGCUUCAUUUGUGUGUUGGUUAAUUGCUAGCUGAAAAAAGCAGAGGCAUGUGUAUUAUUGGUCAGUAUACUACAGUUGAUCAUGUAUAAGGGAAGGUUGCGAUAUAUGUAUCUGAUUAAUGAAGACUCCUUAUCUUUUUCUGAAAGGAAAAAAAGUUAAGCAGCAUAACACUAGAGAUUGGUAACUUAACACAUGUGCACAACAGAUAUAAUAAAUGAUCACUUUGGAACUAAAAUCAGAGAGUGAUACUGAAUGAUCCGACAAAUAAUACCCAGUCCACACAGAAUAGGGAUUGCGACUAAAAUGACCCACCCAUGUCCAAUUUCUCUGCAACAACAUCAUCUAAAUCCUCAUUGCCUUACCAACAACACAAUAUAAUACCGAUCCAAAACAAAGGAGGGGAUAUGAGAAAUUUUGUAUAACUAACUAAAGACAAUUGGAUGGAUGUUUAAAAAAAAAGACAAUUGGAUGUGCAUUCUGUGUUUUUUAUUAAAAGAGAAGGGGUGUGAAUCAGGAUGAAACAGAGAACAUAUUGAUUAUUGACCAUAACUUGCUUUGUCAUCCAUCGAAUUUGCUAACCAAGCAGGGGAAACAUCUCUAUGAAAUUCCCAAAGAUAAUAGGUACCUACCCAUCGACGACACGAAGUAGGGAGGGGAUUGGGACUAAAAUGAUGUCAAAAUUUCCCUGAAACUCCAUCCUCUAAAUCCUCACUGCCUUGCCAAAUACCACAAUAUAUAUAAGUAGUUUUGGUUAAAUAAACCAUACUGCAUAUAUAAGUAGUUUUACAUUAAACUAAUAAUAACUAAACUGUGCCAAGAACAGCACGACGGAGCAUAUGCAAUAUCUAGAACUGGUCGUCUUACAAUGCGAGAUAGAUUGAUCGACGAUGGCUGAAGAAGAAGGUAUUUGGACGGCAUGCAGCCAGGCCAUCGACGACGCCUGACGCCGAAGCCGGCCGAUUAAGACCGGUCGGCCGCACGCGGUCCGAGUGCCGCUAGUACGAGGCGCACUCGCCGACGGCAUGCAAACUGGCCACCAGUAGCUGGCCUUGCAUCCGCCCGCGCUCCGGCGGGUAGCGCUGCAUCGCGGCCAGGACGAGACCGGCGCGGUGGAUGCUGUCACCGAGGCUGUCGCGCCCGUGCGGCAUCAAGUCGG